AACGGGGCAUCAGAGAAUCGGCUGAGUCCCAGAUUAAGAAAAUCGGACGGGGUUUGUAAUCAGGGGGCCACGGGUUCGAAUCCUGUAGCCGGCACCA
rnacentral:tRNA from 1 species